UACGUAGGGUGCGAGCGUUAAUCGGAAUAACUGGGCGUAAAGGGUGCGUAGGCGGAUAUAUAAGUUAGAUGUGAAAUACCUGGGCUCAACCUGGGAGGUGCAUUUAAGACUGUAUGUCUAGAGUUAGUAAGAGGAUGGGGGAAUUCCGAGUGUAGCAGUGAAAUGCGUAGAGAUUCGGAGGAACACCGGUGGCGAAGGCGCCCAUCUGGGAUAUAACUGACGCUGAGGCACGAAAGCGUGGGGAGCAAACAGG
rnacentral:rRNA from 1 species